rnacentral:lncRNA from 10 species
CUUGAACCCGGGAGGCAGAGGUUGCAGUGAGCCGAGAUCUCGCCACUGCACUCCAGCCUGGUGGCAGAGGGAGACUCCACUCAAAAAAAAAAAAAAAACAAAACCAGAUCAUUCUUGUUGUCCCUCUUCCCAUCUCUGUCCCUCUCCUCCCUUCUCCUCGCCCCUUGGGAUUCUUUCCGUAGUUUCUCUUCCUCCUCUGCCGGCAGCCUUUCUCUUCCUGUGCAAGUGACAGUGGUGGCCUCUGAUACCCUCGUUCCUAUCUUUCCCGUCUGUUAAACCAGAAAGUAAGGCCCUCCCCUCCUCUCUUCUGGUUCCAAACUAACAAACAAAAAACUGGGAGAAAAUCUGGUUGGCCCUGCUUAGGUUUCUUGCCCACCUCUGGAACAAUCGCCCUGGGUGGGAAAAUAGGGUCUGAUGUUUGGCUGGCCCUGGACCAUGCACCCAGCUUUGAACCUACAGGGUUAGGGUUAGGUGCCCUGUGACUGGUCUCGUCCCACAAGGACUGUACAUAUGGAGUAGCGCAGUUUCCCAAAAGAACUGAGAGUGUCAACAGACAAAUACCCGAGGAUAUUCACUAGAUCUCUGAUCACUGCUGUUUUUUGAUAAUUUUCUGGAAGUCCUGACUGAUGUAAUAAGACAGGAAAUGGAAAUGUAAUGUAUAAUGUUAGGAAAGAAAAGGCAAAGGGAUUACUCACAGUAGAAAUUGACAGACCGGGCCAGGCACAGUGGCUCAUGCCUAUAAUCCCAACACUUUGGAAGGCCGAGGUGGGAGGAUCACUGGAACCCAGGAGUUUUGAGACCAGCCUGGGCAACACAGUGAGACCCCAUCUCUUAAAAAAAAUCCACACAACCCAAAGAAAUAAAAUAUGAACAAAAGCUAAUAGAAUUGAUAAAGGGGUUUAAUAAAGUUGCUACAUAGAAGUUCUUCAACAAGUCAUAUCAGUCCUUUAUAUUGGUAAUAACAUAUAUGAAAAUACUAAAAGAAAUCUUUCACAAUAGCAACAAAAAACAAAAGGUCCUCGUGAUACAGAGCAUAACUCCUCACUCCUUAAAGGUGGAUUGUACACAGUGACUUCCUUCCAAAAAGUAGCACAGGAAAAUUAAUUUUCAAUUAAUAUAUUAGGUUUUAGUCCACUACUGUGUAUUCCAUUAUUUUAAAAUUUAAUAGAAUGAUUCUAAAAGCAAUUGAUAGUGUAAACAGGAAAAGAUAUAACAAAAACUCUGAAAAAGAAAAGUAAGGAGGAAAGAAGUAGCUCUAUUGGCUGGUAAAUAGCUUUUAAAACAACGUGUGGUUGGCUGAGCACAUUGUACAGGUGAGUAGCCCACACCUGUAGCCCCAGCACUUUGGGAGGCUGAGGUGACAGGAUCGACUGAGCCCCGCAGUUUGAGGCUGCAGUGAGCUAUGAUUGCACUACAGCACUCCAGCCUGGGCAGCAGAGUGAGACCCUAUCUCAAUAAAAAACAAAAAACAAAACAAUUAAAAGAACAAAGAACCCUGUUACUUGGAAAGUGUUAGGAUUUUGAUUGACAUUGCAUUAUAUCUGCAGAUUUAUUCAGAAAGAAUGCACCUCGUUAAAAUUCUGUCUUCUAUUUCAAUCAUAUCCCUAGUCUAAUCAGUACUCAUCUAGGGAAUGGGAGACUCACUGGACUAGGGAUAUGAUGAAUUUGUUAUUGAUGCUUGAUAAAUAGUCAUAAGUAUGUUCAUAUACGGUUCUUAACUUGCUGAAAUAUAUUAUUAAAAGCAUGUAUUAAAAUUGAAUUUUAUCAGGGUUUUUUUUUUUUCUUUUCGGGGGGACAGGGUCUCUCUCUGUCGCCUGGACUGGAAUGCAAUGGUUUGAUCUCGGCUCAAAGCAGCUUCGACCUCCCUGGCUCAAGCAAUUCUCCCACCUUAGCCUCCUGAAGAGCUGGGACUACAGGCAUGUGCCACCACACCCGGCUAAUUUUGUUUUCUUGUUCCUUUUUUUUUUUUUUUUUUUUUUUGAGACAGAGUUUCACUCUUGUUGUCCAGGCUGGAGUGCAAUUGUGCGAUCUUGGCUCACCGCAACCUCUGCCUCCUGGGUUCAAGCAACUCACCUGCCUCAGCCUCCCGAGUAGCUGGGAUUACAGGCAUGUGCCACCACACCCGACUAAUUUUGAAUUUUUUUUUUUUUAGUAGAGUUGGGGUUUCUCCUUGUUGGUCAGGCUGGUCUCAACCUCAGGUAAUCCACCUGCCUUGGCCUCCCAAAGUGCUGGGAUUACAGGCAUGAGGCACCAUGCCCAGCCUAUUUUCAUAUUUUUUAUAGAGACAAAGAGGUCUCACUAUAUUGCCUAGGCUGGUCUCAAACUCCUGAGCUCAAAGUGAUCCUCCUGCCUUGGCCUCCAAGAGUGCUGGGAUUACAGGCAUGAGCCACUGUGCUCUAUAUAUAUAUAUAUAUAUUUAGUAUUAAUUGAAAUAAUCAAAUUUUUCUUCUCUUUUCGGUUGUUAGUGUAAGUUCAUUGUAGAUUUCCUAAUGUUUAGCUGUCACUGAUUCCUGGAAUAAACUUCCCUUAUUCAUAAUAGUAUACUAUAACAGGUAUAUAGUGGUAGAUUUAUUGCUAAUAUUAUAUUCAGGAUUUUUAUAUUUAUUUAUUUUUAUACAGACAGGGGUCUCACUAUGUUGCCCAGGCUGGUCUUGAAAUCCUAGGCUCAAGCAGUCCUCCUGCCUUGGCCUCCCAAAGUGCUGGGAUUACAGGCGUGAGCUGCUGCGCCUGGCUUCCGUGAAUCUUUAGGCUCUGUAAUUAUUCAAAUACCAUAAGAAUGAUCUGUUUCUUGAAGGUUUGAAGGCCACUCACCUAGAGGACCAUCUGAU